rnacentral:rRNA from 1 species
GGUUAAGUGACUAAGCGUACACGGUGGAUGCCUAGGCAGUCAGAGGCGAUGAAGGGCGUGCUAAUCUGCGAAAAGCGUCGGUAAGGUGAUAUGAACCGUUAUAACCGGCGAUACCCGAAUGGGGAAACCCAGUGUGUUUCGACACACUAUCAUGUCAUGAAUACAUAGUGGCAUGAGGCGAACCGGGGGAACUGAAACAUCUAAGUACCCCGAGGAAAAGAAAUCAACCGAGAUUCCCCCAGUAGCGGCGAGCGAACGGGGAGGAGCCCAGAACCUGAAUCGGCUUGUGUGUUAGUGGAAGCGUCUGGAAAGUCGCGCAGCAAAGGGUGAUAGCCCCGUACACUAAAAUGCACAGGUCGUGAGUUCGAUGAGUAGGGCGGGACACGUGACAUCCUGUCUGAAUAUGGGGGGACCAUCCUCCAAGGCUAAAUACUCCUGACUGACCGAUAGUGAACCAGUACCGUGAGGGAAAGGCGAAAAGAACCCCGGCGAGGGGAGUGAAAUAGAACCUGAAACCGUGUACGUACAAGCAGUGGGAGCACCUUCGUGGUGUGACUGCGUACCUUUUGUAUAAUGGGUCAGCGACUUAUAUUUUGUAGCAAGGUUAACCGUAUAGGGGAGCCGUAGGGAAACCGAGUCUUAACUGGGCGAAUAGUUGCAAGGUAUAGACCCGAAACCCGGUGAUCUAGCCAUGGGCAGGUUGAAGGUUGGGUAACACUAACUGGAGGACCGAACCGACUAAUGUUGAAAAAUUAGCGGAUGACUUGUGGCUGGGGGUGAAAGGCCAAUCAAACCGGGAGAUAGCUGGUUCUCCCCGAAAGCUAUUUAGGUAGCGCCUCGUGAACUCAUCUUCGGGGGUAGAGCACUGUUUCGGCUAGGGGGCCAUCCCGGCUUACCAAACCGAUGCAAACUCCGAAUACCGAAGAAUGUUAUCACGGGAGACACACGGCGGGUGCUAACGUCCGUCGUGAAGAGGGAAACAACCCAGACCGCCAGCUAAGGUCCCAAAGUCAUGGUUAAGUGGGAAACGAUGUGGGAAGGCACAGACAGCCAGGAUGUUGGCUUAGAAGCAGCCAUCAUUUAAAGAAAGCGUAAUAGCUCACUGGUCGAGUCGGCCUGCGCGGAAGAUGUAACGGGGCUAAACCAUGCACCGAAGCUGCGGCAGCGACGCUUAGGCGUUGUUGGGUAGGGGAGCGUUCUGUAAGCCGUUGAAGGUGGCCUGUGAGGGUUGCUGGAGGUAUCAGAAGUGCGAAUGCUGACAUAAGUAACGAUAAAGCGGGUGAAAAGCCCGCUCGCCGGAAGACCAAGGGUUCCUGUCCAACGUUAAUCGGGGCAGGGUGAGUCGACCCCUAAGGCGAGGCUGAAAAGCGUAGUCGAUGGGAAACAGGUUAAUAUUCCUGUACUUGGUGUUACUGCGAAGGGGGGACGGAGAAGGCUAGGCUGGCCGGGCGACGGUUGUCCCGGUUUAAGCGUGUAGGGGGUGUGACCUGGUAAAUCCGGUUGCAUACUAACCCUGAGGCGUGAUGACGAUGCACUACGGUGCAGAAGUAGUUGAUGCCCUGCUUCCAGGAAAAUCCUCUAAGCAUCAGGUAACAUUAAAUCGUACCCCAAACCGACACAGGUGGUCAGGUAGAGAAUACCAAGGCGCUUGAGAGAACUCGGGUGAAGGAACUAGGCAAAAUGGUGCCGUAACUUCGGGAGAAGGCACGCUGGCAUGUAGGUGAAGUCCCUUGCGGAUGGAGCCGAAGCCAGUCGAAGAUACCAGCUGGCUGCAACUGUUUAAUAAAAACACAGCACUGUGCAAACACGAAAGUGGACGUAUACGGUGUGACGCCUGCCCGGUGCUGGAAGGUUAAUUGAUGGGGUCAGCCGCAAGGCGAAGCUCUUGAUCGAAGCCCCAGUAAACGGCGGCCGUAACUAUAACGGUCCUAAGGUAGCGAAAUUCCUUGUCGGGUAAGUUCCGACCUGCACGAAUGGCGUAAUGAUGGCCAGGCUGUCUCCACCCGAGACUCAGUGAAAUUGAACUCGCUGUGAAGAUGCAGUGUACCCGCGGCAAGACGGAAAGACCCCGUGAACCUUUACUAUAGCUUGACACUGAACAUUGAGCCUUGAUGUGUAGGAUAGGUGGGAGGCUUUGAAGCGUGGACGCCAGUCUGCGUGGAGCCAUCCUUGAAAUACCACCCUUUAAUGUUUGAUGUUCUAACUC